UAACAACCGAAAGGAGGUGAUCCAGUGUCUCAUUGUCUAUCGCCGUUUGCGCGGACUCUUGUGAACUGGUCCCUCGGCUCGUUCGAGGGCUGCGCGGCUUAAUCUGCCGCCAGUGCCAGUCCGAGACCGGGCUGCGGUUUGACAAUGGAAGGGCUGUCCGCAAGGGCAGCCCU
rnacentral:sRNA from 1 species